AGUUUCGGAGUUAUAGAGUUGAGAGAGGGUUAUAACCUUAAAUAAGUAGUUUCCUUGUCUGUAGUGGCCUUCUCGGCCUUGAGGAGGUGAAAUAAAAUUAAAAAAAAAAAAAAAAAUGUUGAACGCUUUUUUAGCAUAUGCGGUGUAGUUAAUAAUAAAGAGCCGGCAACAUGACAGAUGAAAUAUUAAUGAAUCCUGCUUUUUUAAAAAGUAACUUAACCAUACUCAAUGGACUGGCUGAAAAAAAAUAUUUUCUUUAUUCGUUUUUAGAUAAUUUUCUUACUUAUUGUUUUGUUUAUGAGAUGUAAUUACAUUUUUGAAACCUAUAAUGAAUUUUUACUUUUAUUUCCUUAUUUCGUUUUUCUGAUUUAAAUGCAUUAAAGUAAAACAUCACAUUACUGAAAAACAAAAUUCUAUUUUACACUCAAAAAAGUUGCGUAUUUUUACGCAAAAUACUCAAAAAUAAUAUGUAAGGUGAGUUUUGUAUUGAGUAUUUUACUUAACAAAAAUAGGUACGAUAGGUUGCAUACUGAGUAUUAUACUCAAAAAAAUGCAUGUGAUGAGUUGCGUAAUGAGUAUGAUGUGAGUAUAAUACUCAAUAUGCAAUGCGCAAAAUAAAAAGCGUUUUGACGUAUGGUUCAUGCUUAAGUCAAAUGAGAAUGUGUUGCAAAGAGUUGUGGGAACAAAAAAACAUAAAUUUUUGGGCCCACCCAACCCUUAGCAUGGGAGCAACAAGUUUAUAAAAUAUUUUCUUUUGUAUUUUUAUAUUUUGCUAUUGAAGCUAUAAAGUCAAAUACGUACAGCUUAUGCAGGCAUGUGAUAGAGAUGGUGGAAGAAAAGAUUGUAGUCGUGGGUACCAAAUACCAUUAGCUAAAGACGAUUCAAUAACAAGUAGCUCAGGCAGUAGCGAAACUACUCCAUAAAUUUUAUAGGAAUAUUUUAUAUUUAAAACUCAAUGUGUUAGUUUUUGGUUUAUGUUUGGUGUUUGCAAUAUGUACAUUUAACGGAGAAAUUAUGUAAAGUAAAUAAAUAAAUUUUUAUUCUUAUAUCA